UUCUUGAUCAGUAUCUCACUCUGCUGGCAGAUGAUCCACUAGAGUUUGUUGGAAAGUCUGGCGACAGUGGUGGAGGAAUGUAUGUCAUCAACCUCCAUAAGGCAUUAGCAUCCCUAGCCACAGCCACUCUGGAGUCCGUCGUACAGGAGAGAUUUGGGUCUCGCUGUGCUAGAAUAUUCCGUCUAGUUUUGCAGAAGAAACACAUAGAGCAGAAGCAAGUGGAAGACUUUGCAAUGAUUCCUGCAAAGGAGGCCAAGGAUAUGCUAUAUAAGAUGCUCUCAGAAAAUUUCAUGUCACUCCAGGAAAUUCCCAAAACACCAGACCAUGCCCCAUCCAGGACCUUCUAUUUAUAUACUGUGAACAUCCUGUCAGCUGCCCGAAUGUUGUUGCACAGGUGCUACAAGGUAACUCAAUCUGGACCUUCUGCCCAUUUCCUCCACACGGACAAGUCCCCUUCAUAUGCCCACUUCGCCCUGAGCUGCUGAAAUAGAACUAUGUGCAUUCCUUGUCUGUCUUCUCUUUCCUCAGAGCAUAGCCAACUUGAUAGAAAGGAGGCAAUUUGAAACCAAAGAGAAUAAGUAAGUAACAUUUUCAGUUGAGUUAUUUACAUUUUUCAAGAUCAAGGGCCUGAGGGGAAAUUUCCUCUAGAAAUAGGAACCAAUAGAGGCUGGGCCUGGCAGGGUGGCUCAUGCCUGUAAUCCCAGCACUUUGGGAGGCUGAGGCGGGUGGAUCACUUGAGGUCAGGAGUUUGAGACCAACCUGGCCAACAUGGUGAAACCCUGUCUUCACUAAAAAUACAAAAAUUAGCUGGGCAUGGUGG
rnacentral:sRNA from 1 species